ensembl:lncRNA
GAAGCUCCCUACCACCUGGCCAGGUCUCUGCUAUGUUGAGCUCCAUCUCUCAGUAGCAACCCACGUUGGGCACAGUCCUCUGUGUCUUAUGCAUUAACAAAUGUAACAUUCCUGACCAACAACCUUAUGAGGCAGACCGUUUUGUUACCAAUGCUGUCUUACGGAUGAAAGAUGGGAAGCACAGAGAGGCAUCAGGGUCUUUUCAAAUAAGUCAGCUCUUCACAUCAGGUGGCCAAAGUAUUGGAGUUUCAGCUUCAACAUCAGUCCUUCCAAUGAACACCCAGGACUGAUCUCCUUUAGGAUGGACUGGUUGGAUCUCCCAUAAGAGACAUGGGUUCAAUCCCUGGUCUGGGAAGAUUCUACAGGCUGUGGAGCAAUUGAGCCCUUGCACCAUGACUAC